rnacentral:misc_RNA from 1 species
UUUAUCCUUGAGAAGUGAGU